GCCUUCAUAGCUCAGUGGUAGAGCGUUGGUCUCGUAAAUACACGAAGAUAACCAAAGGCCGAGAGAUCAAUCCUCUCUAAAGGCA
rnacentral:tRNA from 1 species